rnacentral:lncRNA from 1 species
CUAGUGUGAGUGGGUAGAGUCUAGUGUGAGUGUGUAGAUUCUAGUGUGAGUGGGUAGAGUCUAGUGUGAGUGGGUAGAUUCUAGUGUGAGUGGGUAGAGUCUAGUGUGAGUGGGUAGAGUCUAGUGUGAGUGGGUAGAGUCUAGUGUGUGUGUGUGGUCCAGUGUGUGUUCCAGUGUGUGUGUGUGUGUGAGAGAGAGAGUGGGUAGAGUCUAGUGAGAGUGGGUAGAGUCUAGUGAGAGUGGGUAGAGUCUAGUGUGUGUUAGUGGGUAGAGUCUAGUGUGUGUUAGUGGCUAGAGUCCAGUGUGUGUGAGUGGCUAGAGUCCAGUGUGUGUGAGUGGCUAGAGUCCAGUGUGUGUGAGUGGCUAGAGUCCAGUGUGUGUG